CCUACGGUGAGCAGCAGUGAGGAAUAUUGGUCAAUGGCCGGAAGGCUGAACCAGCCAAGCCGCGUGAAGGACGAAGGUGCCAAGCAUUGUAAACUUCUUUUGUCAAGGGACAAAAUCAGGCGCGAGAGCCUGACAGAGGGUACUUUAAGCAAAAGCAUAGGCUAACGCCGUGCCAGCAGCCGCGGUAAUACGUAGGGGGCAAGCGUUAUCCGGCUUUACUGGGUGUAAAGGGGGCGCAGACGGCAGCGCAAGCUAGGGGUGAAAGCCCGGGGCGCAACCCCGGGACUGCUCUUGGAACUGCGCGGCUGGAGUGCAGGAGGGGCGGGCGGAAUUCCUGGUGUAGCGGUGAAAUGCGUAGAUAUCAGGAGGAACACCGGUGGCGAAGGCGGCCUGCUGGACUGCGACUGACGUUGAGGCCCGAAAGCGUGGGGAGCAAACAGGAUUAGAUACCCCUGUAGUC
rnacentral:rRNA from 1 species